GAAUAAGAAGCGAUUAAUUGCAGUUAGUUUCGACCUAACCUUAGGUAACUUUACCCUUAUUCU
rnacentral:tRNA from 1 species